rnacentral:rRNA from 1 species
UACGAAGGGGGCUAGCGUUGCUCGGAAUUACUGGGCGUAAAGGGCGCGUAGGCGGACAGUUUAGUCAGAGGUGAAAGCCCAGGGCUCAACCUUGGAAUAGCCUUUGAUACUGACUGUCUUGAGUUCGGGAGAGGUGAGUGGAAUGCCGAGUGUAGAGGUGAAAUUCGUAGAUAUUCGGCGGAACACCAGUGGCGAAGGCGACUCACUGGCCCGAUACUGACGCUGAGGCGAGAAAGCGUGGGGAGCAAACAGG